GUUGGAGAUACCCAGACAGAUAAGGCCUGGAACAGAAACUGGGAGAAAAAAGGUGAAAGCUUCAUAGGGGAUCUCUAACCUGAAAAUGAGAAAGAUCUUGUCACUAGAUUCUCUUCAGCCAAAAAUGAAAUAAUCCACCUCUAUGCUGUUCAGGAAAAUCCCUUCCCAUAAGCUUUCCAGGGAAAUGUAAGCUGGAUCUGGAUAUGAGGAUUCCUCCUCAGUACUGCUUAGCCAAAUGUGAUUUUUACAACUGCCUCCUAAAAAAUGUUUUAGAAAUUGCACUGAAAACGGUUCACAUUCUUGGACAAAAUACAGCCUUUUAA
rnacentral:lncRNA from 10 species